rnacentral:rRNA from 1 species
UCAAAAACAUGUCUAUAUAGAUUCUUAAUAUAAAGUCUAACCUGCCCACUGAGUUAUUAAAGGGCUGCGGUAAUUUGACCGUGCAAAGGUAGCAUAAUCAGUAGUCUUUUAAUUGAAGGCUUGAAUGAACGGUUGGAUGAGGGAAAAACUGUCUCUCCCAUAAAUUGAAAUUUGACCUUUAAGUGAAAAGGCUUAAAUUAACUAAGGGGACGAUAAGACCCUAUAAAACUUAAUAUAAAUUAUAUUUUGUUCUUAAAUUAUAAAUAAUCAUAAUAAAAUCUAGUUUAUAUUUUGUUGGGGAGAUAUUGAUAUAAAUUGUAACUGUCUAAUCUAAAAAACAUAAUUAUUAUUAUAACGUGAUCCUUCACUGAGGAUAAAAAGAAUAAGUUACUUUAGGGAUAACAGCGUAAUUUUUUCUGAGAGUUCUUAUCGAAGAAAAUAGUUGCGACCUCGAUGUUGAAUUAAAAUUUCAGUUAGGUGUAGCCGCUUAUCUUGUGGGUCUGUUCGACCUUUAAAAUUUUACAUGAUCUGAG